rnacentral:lncRNA from 1 species
GUGUACAGAUGCAUAGUACUCAAGGCAUGCAAGGCGUAGGACUACAUGCACUAUGCGAUGUGUAUGUAAUGUAUUUGAAUUCAGAGUAAAAAAGCCGUUGCAUCAAGUAUCAUCCUCCUGAAUACUCUCGUUUUCUCCUGCAAAUUUACAGUAUGGGCAUCCUUUUUUAACAUCUUUCGUCAAAGAAGUGGAUUCAAAGCACAUUGUGGCCUCAGUAUAUUGAUGUGAAACCAUGCAGAAAAUGCUACUCUCUCUCAACCUUGUGGAUGUUCCCUACUUCCCUAAGGAUCAGCAGCCUCUUGAAACAGUUGAAGCCAUUAUCGAAUUCCUUGCGUCUAUGUUUUCUGGAUCUGAAAGCAAAGCAUAAUGCCAGAGAUUCCACCCAAAAGCUAACCCAUGAGUCCAAGCUGAAGAGGAAUAUUUCCAAAUCGAUGGCUCCACUAAUCCGAUUGAAUUCCUUGCGUCUAUGUUCCCUGGAUCUGAAAGCAGUGCAUAAUGCCAGAGAUUCCACCCAAAAGCUAACCCAUGAGUCCAAGCUGAAGAGGAAUAUGUCCAAAAUUACAUGUAGAUCUACACUCACCCGAUAGUUAAACUGCUAGAAAAAAGGUUUUUUUUUCACUUCAUUAUAAUUUAUAGAGAGAGAUUGGGGGAGGGGGAGAGGUGAGGUGUAGCCACAAACCUGAAUGGCUAAGCUGUGGAACUGAAAUUCCCAUUCAUGUCACUUACAAUUUUAAUGAAUUACAGGGUGUACGAACUGACAUAAUAACAGUUUGAGUAAAAGAUUCCAGUAUUUUGCAUAUAUUUGUAAUUACUAUUUAUGAGGUUGACCUGUUUCAUAAUGCUUAAAUGUAGUAGACUUGAUAUGCUCAGUCUCAUGCUCACCCCCACCCCCCAUCCGCUUCUUAUCAGUUCUUAAAACCUGUUGCAAAUUAUAUAUAAGUUGGUAAUAGAGAAAAAUUGAGUGAGUUAAAUACAAUACAAAUCGAUUCCAUUAUUAAGCAACUAAGACUUGUUCAGAUACGGAACGUGAACCGCCAACAAUUUUCGAAAAUGAUGCAGUUUGGUUUUAUGUGUAAAGCGAAUGGCAACAAGUCUUUGUAUGUUUUGGACUGCGCAUAUUCAGUGAGCUUUUUUUUAAAAAUAAUAUACAGAAAUGUAAAGCAUAUUGAACUCUAUGUCAACAUUAAAAAAACUCUGAGAUUUUGUUUUGCAGCAUCAUAUCUGAACGAGCCUUAAAGGGACUUGGUAACAUUGUUCAUAUGAGAGAAAAUGAUGCUAAGGUAUUGACUUCAAUGCUAUACUGUAUGUACACUUAAAGAUAAUCUGAACAUUUGAGUUAAAAAUAGACCACUAUUGAUGAUUAAAAUUGGGAAAACUGAUCUAAUCCAUUCCUUAAUUCUCCCAACUAUAUUUUUAUAAUUUGAUUAAAUUGAAGUGAGUGUAAAUCAUCACAAAGCAACGAAUUAGCUCCAAUACCUUUUCCAAAUUUAGGCGUUGAAAGAUUUUUAAAGGCCUGUUUUAUAUCUUAUUUUCAUGGAAAAACGGUUGGGGAAAAUUGAAAAUUUUGUUGGGAGAAUUAACUGUUAAAGAGUGACACACAGUAGCGCCUUCAAUGAAAACCAUAAAUACCUUGUGGUUUGAAAAAAAAUUGGUAGUUAAAAGUAUAAAAUUCUUGGAUUGUAUCUGUGAUUUUGAAAGCACAAUAUGGCUUACCUACAUGUAUAUUGAAUUUGCUGUUAAAAUUUAAGUUAAAUUUUAAUUCUUUUGUGAAACUCCUGGGACUUGCCAAAUGAAUGUUGUGACAUUAGCAAUGGAAUAUAUCUCUUUGUGCUAAACUUUUUCAGCAUGUUUGCUAUUUUAUCUUAAACUGGGAAAUACCUUCUGAAUAAUUAUUCCACCGUCACCUUGGAAUUGCCCAACUGAGCCAAUCGUACUGGCGGGAAUGUUAUCUGAUAUAAAUUGUAUUUUAUACUUGAACUUCAGCUUCUGUAUUUGCAACAAAACUAAUUUUUUGAUAUUUAUAAAGAUGAAUGUUGCCACUAA